GUGGAGGCUCAUAUCGACCUCCUCCAACUAUCUGGUUCGCCGAGGAUAGUAAAUGUUUCAUCCAGCAUGGGGAAGCUUGAGAAUGUCUAAUGAAUGGGCCAGGGGAAUUCUGAGUGAUCCCGAGAACAUCACGGAAGAGAAAGUGGAGGGGAUCAUGAAGGCUUUCCUUGCAGACUUCAAGGACGGUUCGUCCGAAGCCAAAGGGUGGCCUGCCUACAUGCCCGCUCACCGCCUCUCGAAAGCGGCCAUGAAUGCCUACACUAGGAUCCUUGCGAAGAAGUACCCGAGUAUUGCCGUCAAUUGUGUGUGCCCCGGAUUUGUCAAGACGGACAUCAACUGCAACACCCGCUUCAUGUCGGUCGAGGAAGGCGCCGAAGGCCCAGUGAAGCUGGCGCUUCUUCCAAAUGGCGGUCCUUCUGGCUGCUUCUUUUUCAGGAAGGAAGAGUCGGAAUUUUGAUAGAAGAUAGUAGCCUUCACUCUCUUGUCUUCCUUGUGAAUGAAAAGUCUAUCUCACCUAUCUCUACUGUGUGGUGAACUAAAUAAAGGUCUAGUUGUAGAUCACGGCCCUCAACAGAUUGAUAUUUCAUAUCCCACUGUUUUAGAUGUUUUACUUGGGUUCAAUCUCA